UUGGGUCUGAAGUCUGAACACAUUCUCCCCCUUUACUUUCCCUGCUGCUAGUCGUCUCUACUCCACAAUUGCCAGGAAACGUGGAGAAGUUUCUUCUGCUCUGCUUCUGGCUUCUGCCUUGAGCUUGUGCGUGUGCAUUUUGCUGCCUAUAUUACAAUUUCUCCUCGUUGGAAGUUUCGAUUUUAUUAAUCAUGGAAGAAGACAGUAAAAAAUAUAGCAAUUCUUAAGGUUCAUCUUCUUGGUUCGAUUUGAAGUGGUAGAUUAUGGCUAAAGACGGACCCAACUGGGAAGGAUUGCUAAAGUGGAGUCUCUCUCACGCCGAUUGUACUGGCUCCAAGCGUAAACUCAGUGAGGAGGAUAGAAGAUGUUUAUGGAAGCUAUGCAAGCCCAAAGUGUUCAUACCAUCAAACGCAUGAAGGAGAUGACUCUUGUUAUGCAAACCCCAAAGCAGGUCUUGGAGGCUCAAGGAAUUACUCCUGCUGAUCUUGAAGUUGGUGGUCUGAUGCCUCUCCUUGGUUACCUAAAUAAUUCCCAUGCCAGCAUUUGGGCAAAGGUUGCAGAUGUUUUAACCACCAUUGUCCAGGAUGAUCCCCGUAGUCAGCAAUAGGGUAUGGAAGCAAAUGGCUUAGAACCUCUUCUUUCUAAUUUCACAUCAGACCCAGAUAUGACUGUUUGAACCAAAGUCUUGGGGCAAUUUCCUGUAAGUGCUGCUUCUUUGGCUUUAUAUUGAUCAUGGUUGUUUGAAAGCUUGCAUAGUGCACACGGGUUACCUUUUCCCUGCAUUCCUGGCUUGGAACUUUGAAAAGAUAUUGAAAUGAGUUAUUUGUUGAUAAUUCUCAACUUUAAUCCGUCACAACAAGCCACAUAUUACGGCAUUUCAUCUGAAAACAGUUAUGCGGGCGUGAGAGAUGUUUUGGGUUCUGAGAGUGUGAGACUCCAAAGGUACUCCUGGAUUGAUAUUUAGUUAUUCUGUCUUUAGUAUUCUGGUUUGGUGACAAUUAUAUGGUUCUUGUUGUUGGAAAACAAAAUAAAAGAACUUCUAAUUUGGCUGAAAAAGAUGCUUGUGAUGAGAAAUUACAAGCCUAUUGAUGGUGUUGGUAGUUUUUUCAAUUAUUUCUCUGAUAUAAUCAACCUUUUUUAUUUUAGGAAAGCUCUCAACUUGAUCCUUUACCUACUACAUGAGAAUAGUUCAGAUUGUAGUGUAGUGAGAAAGCUACGGUUCCUAGGCAUAUUAUUGCACCUUGCAUCAAGUGAAGAUGCUGAAGCAUGAGAGGUAGUCCUCCGGGGCCUUCUUGAGCUUGCUUGAUAUAAGAAAGGUGGAAAUGAUGGCGGAUUAUGGGAAGAAGUGAGGAAGUGAAGCAACUGCUUGAAUAACAGAUUAAGGGCAUCAGCUUGAGGCUGCUAGAGAGGAGAGACAACUGGUAGACUCCCUCUGGAAUGCGCAUUUUAAUGAACCAUCAUCUCUGUGUGAGAUGGGGCUGCUUGUUAUCCCUGAAAAAGAUACCUUACCACUUAAUGUUGCCAGCAACAUUUUGAACGUCCUCUCAGAGGUUGGGCUGCAAGGUGACAAUUCUAGGACUGACAAGAAACAGGCUCCCCUAUUAUUGGGUGCCGUAUCGGAGUCUGCAAAUGCCCAGGUAACUUCAAGCGCUGAAGUCAAUGUUCACUACCACCAUAUUUUAGCCAAGGGGUCGAAAUCGGUUGCAAUUGAAUGCUUUUAGAGACUAAAUUAAUUUCCCGUCGCAAAUUAUAAACUUUCAGGGACGGGCAAAAUUCCCUUCGCUAUUAGCCAAAGAGCCCGUCCCAGUUUAGUCCAGCAAACCCGUGUUUUACAUUGUAUUUGGCGCUGGCUCCAAUAUUAAAAAAAAAAAAAGAAAUUCUGCUCAUAAAAAUUAACAAAAGCAGCAUCCAUUUAGAAAGACAAAAAAAAGUUGGGAAAAGGACUUAGGGAUCUCGAAGAAAUCCUCGUAACUUUAUUUUUUUAUUCUGAAUCUUCAAACAAGAAAUCAAUAGCAGUUACUGGGUGCCUGAUCUGCAAAUUUUUCUGCCGCAAAUCUGAUUGCAAAGGCUCGAUGAAAUUAGUGUGAUUGGGUUGCAGAUCGAUGAUAGCGUGUGCUUCCAAAGGUGAGACAAUCUGCUGCCUCCAUUUCUUCCCCUAUAUCUUGCUAAGGUGAGAUGAUUCUGGGUGCAAGAAGCUAAGAUUAAUUAGCUUUUAAAUGGUGUUUGGGUGUUACUGAUUUGGGAGUUGAAUUGAUUGCUAUCAAAUGUGAGGAGAUUCGGAGUUUGGAUCUCUCUUAUUUGCACCGAGAGUCUGUUUUAGCAUUUAGCUUCACUUAUGAGUUGUUAUAUCUAUGAAUUUGGUUAUGCAUUUGUCUAAUUUUUUACCAAACAUGAGUUAAUUUGAUGGUUUCAUCAAUCAAUUUGAUUUUUUUUUCCUACCACAGUUCUCAUUUAAAAGGUUCAGUUUUUUUUUUUUGGUUAAUCAUACUUUAUGGUUAGUAAAAUUUAUUGCAUUAAUCAUACUUUUAGUGCUGCAGUUUAUUAUGUAUGGCAAGAAAGAAAUAACAUAAUAAAGACAAUGAAAAGCAAGUUGUGCAGAGAGUUAUCUGGUGUGUUAUAAUGAACUUUGGCAAACUCUUGUGGAUCAGUGGACUGGAGCAAAUGGGUAUGAGAUAUAGGCAUAGUCUCUGCUGGUGCUUGUUUGUGUCUGGGCUUUCCCAGUAUGUUUGUUGUGCUGCUGUUUUUUGAUGAUGCAGAUUACUCUGAAGCUGCCUUUUUGCAACUUGUCAGUCUACAAGGUUGCUGUGGCGUAAGGUGUGGCUAUAAUAAUGAUAUGCUCCAUGUUUCCUUGUUGUUUUUAAAGGCUUUUGCAUGUUGAAAUGCAAUUUGUGGUGCCACCUCUAGUAUGCUGAAUGUUGGAAAGAUGCAGUUAUAUAAUGGAAGUAGCAUGUUUGGCCUGCUGUCAUGAUUAGUAAGGUGUGUUUACUGUGCUUUAAUUGGAAAAUAGGCUAUGCGAGACUUCCUUUGACGCUUUAAAUAUGGAUUGCCUAUGUGCAAUGACUUACUGGUUGACUUCUUGAAGGUUUAAUGUGAUACUCCUAGUAGUUGUGGGAUGCAAUGGAUGAAUGGGUGCAGGUCCUGGUUUCGAAUCCUUGGAUUUGUUUACAUGCUGUCACUGGUUGAUGUGAGUGAACAUGGAAUGUUUUUUUGCUUUUGCUGCAGAAUUAGCAGGUAGAGGUAACAGAUCGUUGGCUGCAGAUAUAUAUAUAUAUACAUUGAUUCUGGGUAUAGCUCUUCAUAUGUUUCUCUGGGGGUUAGUGUUGCUAUUUGUAAAUGGGAUUGGACCUGGGAGACCAUAGAGGCCUUCAGUGAGUUAGCUGCGUCAGUGUUAGGCGAGCGUCAGCCAAAGGAUCGGACCUGGGAGACCGUAAAGGCCUUCAGUGAGUUAGUUGCGUCAGUGUUAGGCGAGCGUCAACCAAAGGUUUGUAGGAUCAAAGAUAGCAUCGGGAAGUCGGCAUAGUAGCUGGUAUAGUUCUUGUAAUAGUAUAGUGUGGACAUGUAAAUUUUAAUGGAUUAAAAUUGUGCUUGGUCUUAGUUUUCUUUACCUUUGUAAUUCCUGUUAACAUGAUCCUUAUGUAAAAGUUUUUAAUUAUAAGUUAUGUUUGAACCAAGUUUGAGGCAUGUGAUGUUAACCAUACUAGAACAUUUGUUGAGGGCUCUAGUAUGGGUUUUAUGUUUUCAGUAUGAUACAUGUACAGGUUGAGUUUGGUUUCAUGGAAUGUUUAAGUUUUUGUGAUGAUGUAUGAUCAUGUAUGGGAUUUUUAUCAGGUACUCAGGAUGUAUAAUAGGCUUGCUACGGAUUCCGGCGACCUUAAGUCAAUCUAAAUCCUAGCGCCGGUAGCGGUUCGGUUUCCGGGUCGUUACAUCUAUAUUGGUCAACAACUUUUAUUUCAAUAAGCUUCAAAAGUACUUUUCUUAAUAUUUUGUGCUAUGGCCUUGAACUAUAAUUAGCCUUCUCUAUAUUGUAACAAUUUGAUUUUGGUUUUGUUAUAUUUUUUUAUACCUAGAUUGCUUGCAGUCUUGUGAAUGUGAAUAGCUGAAUAGUUGUUCCAUAUUAAUUAUCAAAUAUUUGCAAUUGUAGAUUUCUUUCGCUGAA